UUUACCAAAAUAUGCACAUAGACCACAGAUAUAAGAAUAAUGCAUGUAAUUAGUAGUACUAAUUCCAUGGAAUAAUGUUCUAAUAUCUAUGGCAUAGACCAGAUAAAUAGGUACCUGCAGUAAAUUUAUUAUUCUUGGAAUUGUAAAAAAAUAAACGUCUUUGGUAACUUAAUAAAUUAUAGGUUACUUUGCGUUUGACAUAGGUACUGUUGUAAGAAAUGUUUUCGUUUCUAAAAUAUUUUCUGAUAAAGUGUUAUGCAUAUUGUAAUAUAAUCCGUUAGUAAAACUAUGUGUUCUCCUUGCUGCUGUGAUUUACAUCUUUGUUGUGUAGUCAUUGGAGUCAUAGCACUUAUAGUGCUAGUAUUAAUUUGCAUAUAAAGACUUAGCCAAACGUAUAUUGACAAGACGAUGUGUGUUUUUGACUUCUCUGAUUGGGUCCAUUGGUUUUAUUUGUUAAUUGUCGUAGGAUUUGCAGUGCUAUUUAUGUAUUCAAUGGGGUUAUUCGAUGAGAUUCUAACACUUUGAACAUAGGCAAAACCUAUUCCGCAGAGGGAACUCCUCGUCUGUGUUGGCAAGCUCGUCAUGUGUAUCGUCUUCUGUGAUCUGCGGCUUUGCUGUUGUUGUAUAAUAAUAAUAGGGACAAUAGUCCUCAUUUUACAUUUAUGUGGUCAAAUAAAACCACCGCCGACAUCGUGAGGCCGCUGCAUGAUGGACCUGUGAGAUACCUAAAGCUACUGAAUAAUCGACCUGAUAGACAGACCGCUGAAUAUCGGCAGAGAUAUAAUGUUGCCGCAUCUUUAGCCUGAGAGUUGCUGUGAUUUUCCAUGACUAUAAGAGUAAUCGCAGUAUAAGUAAGCAUUCAGUCUGGAUGCGUUUCAGGCCUUUUCGUCGUCGCCCGAAGCGCGUACUGACCCAAUAUAAAUAUUAAACUACCGAGCUUUAAUUUUAUUAUACUAUAUCAUCGAUAUACGCACGCGCACAAUUUAGUUGUAAGGGUUUUUAUAAUGUUUACCUAUGUAACCUACUAACUGUAAUUAUGUAGUGCCGAUUACAUAUUAUAUGAGUUAGUUUUUUCCCUAAUUUACGCCAUUGUACCUAAUAGGUAUAUCAUAAUGUAAGCGUCUAGUUUAUUAAUGUCAAUAUAUAUUAUUAUUUGUCUUAAAUCAAAUUUUGUAUUAUAUAAAUUUUAUCGACCAAAAAGUCACACACUUAUUGUAAAUUAAUCAUUCAAAUAUUCUUGAAUUAAAUAUAGUUUGUAAUUAUACCUAAUAUUUCAAUUUCCCGAAGAUGAAAAAUAUUUGCAAAUGUUCGGCCGUCUGUUUAUCUAUUAGAAAGUUUUUCGUAUUUUAUAGUUAUUGUUAUUUUUUGAUA